UCCUACGGGAGGCAGCAGUAGGGAAUUUUCGUCAAUGGGCGCAAGCCUGAACGAGCAAUGCCGCGUGAACGAGGAAGGUCUUCGGAUCGUAAAGUUCUGUUGAAGGGGAAAAAGAGCGGAGAGAGGAAAUGGUCUCCAAUUGAUAUUACCCUUCGAGGAAGUCACGGCUAACUACGUGCCAGCAGCCGCGGUAAUACGUAGGUGGCGAGCGUUAUCCGGAAUGAUUGGGCGUAAAGGGUGCGUAGGCGGCCUGCUAAGUCUGGAGUGAAAGGUACCGGCUCAACCGGUACAGGCUGUGGAAACUG
rnacentral:rRNA from 1 species